rnacentral:lncRNA from 1 species
GUUUUUGUAUUUUUAGUAGAGACGGGGGUUCACCGUGUUAGCCAGGAUGGUCUCGAUCUCCUGACCUUGUGAUCCGCCCACUUCGGCCUCCCAAAGUUCUGGGAUUAGAGGCGUGAGCCACCAUGCCUGGCCAAGAUAUGAGGGAAAUCAUCCAUUUUUAUGCUUAGGUUCCACAAGGUAUGGACAGCCAUGCAGAAAUAGAAUUGGGCAAAUAGGGUCGGAGCUAAUGAGAAGAGCCUAAGUGGGGACACCCAGCCAGGCCUGUCUGUCUAGAUUCUUAUGGCCUCUCUGAGCAGUCUUCCUUCCUUCCUUCCUUCCAUCCAGGACCCUCUCUGGAGUGAGGGUCUUAAGAUCUACAGUCUAACAAGAUUCCACAAAGACAGAAGAACAUUGACGAGUCUUGGAUGUCUCUGGGCUCUUGAAUUCCCAUCGCAUUGGCAUCAAAGAACUGAAUAAGACACUGUUCCGCCACAAAACGGUGCUGGAUGCUGAACCAUCAUCUUCUCAGGAUAAUAUUUUCAACUGAUUAAUGCGAAAUACAACUAAGAAACACAACUUCCUACGUGGUAUGAAGUCACUCUGCUCUUCUGCCUGAGAAAAUUGUCAGAAUAGAAAUGGAGUCACGAAUGUUCACAAAACCCUGACCAAUAGGAUUGGAGAAGUCCUGAAGAGAAGAUUUUUGGGCUUGCAUGCCUGAUUUAAAAAAAAAAAGAGACUACAAAAACCACAGCCUUGCUCAGAGGACAUCGCCAGGGUACACAAAAAAGACAUUUGCAAGGACAUCUCCCCAGUAACCUCCUGUUUAACUUCGGACUGGUGUCACCCUUGUUAUUGAUAUUUCUAACCACAGAUAAUUAUUUCAAAACAAUUAUGUAAUUCUUCUUAUUUUUUUCCUUUAAAAACCUUUGUCUUCCUUUACCUCUCUGAAUACGCACUUACUUUUUACUAUGGCACACGUAUUCCCAUUGCAAUGCUUUAUUCCCAAAUAAAUUUCUUUUAGAGAGCUUGUCUCGGUUUAUUUCAGUUGACACCAAAUUUUCUAUGUGUAAGUGAAAAAAAGGUAGGGGGGAAUCAUAAAGUGUCAAAAUGGAGAGAUGUCUUCCAGAUGGUUCAGUCCAGUCCCUGUGUCUUACUAAAGGAGACUAAGCAUGUUAACACACACACACAAACACACACACACACACACACUCCAACC